rnacentral:lncRNA from 1 species
UGCACAAGCCUUUGAUGUACAUUGGCACUACGAAGAUAGCAUGUGCAAUUGUGUAUGGGCUAAUUUGGGGAUGAAUAAGGGUGUUCGAAAAGGAAGCCAAACUGCGGGGUUGAUGGAGAAAUUUUUUGUUUGAAUUCGGAUGGAGAUGUUGAUCUAAAUUCACUUGAAGAUUAUCGGCCACGAAUUUUAACAAGCCUUUCGAAUAUCAAA